GCUUAUUCUCAGGGCGGGGUGCGAGUCCCCACCGGCGGUAUCCCAGGUUGCUCUGGGGAGCCCGCGAGCGCUCCUUUUGUCGUUAAAGGAGGUCAGCAGAUCUGGUGUGAUUCCAGAGCCGACGGUUAUAGUCCGGACGAAAGAGAAUGGGG
rnacentral:ncRNA from 2 species